rnacentral:tRNA from 1 species
GGGCGGUUAGCUCAGUUGGGAGAGCGCCAGAAUCGCACUCUGGAGGUCGGGGGUUCAAGUCCCCUACCGUCCACCA